GUGUUUGCUUUGACAGCACACAUACCAAAGUUGGAAUGAUACAGAGAGGAUUAGCAUGGACCCUGCACAAAGAUGACACACAAAUUUUUGAAGCAUUCCAUAAUUAU
ensembl:snRNA U6 U6 spliceosomal RNA